UUCAAAAAGAAGCAAUUUCUCUCACUUUUUCCUGCUGCUAAGUCACAAUUUUCCUCGUUGCUACCAUUUACUUAAACAUGUCCAGCCCAUUAAAACUACAAAUAUAAACCUAAUUUCAUUCUUUUACUCUGCACACGCCGCUCCAUCUUCUGGAUUUCUUUCUCUGCACCAGAAAUUUUUCUUCCGCCAACAUUCUCUGGCUUCAUCAGCUCUUCUGUCUGUCAUUCUAACAUUGCCAGCAACCUCCUGGGAAUCUGUUCGAGUGGACUUUCCUGCAACACCAUUCACAGGUAAAUGCAGACUACAAAGCUGUUUCAUCUGAUCAAGAUCUGAAGGUAUGUGCAUUUCUCUUGAGAUUAAUCUGAAGAUGCAACUAAUUAGUCCCCUACUUGAGAUUAAGGAAGGUAUGCGCAUUUCUCUUAAAUGGCUCUGAAACAAAGCAUAUGUCCAAGAUAAAUAUCAUCAGCACAUCAGUCAGUAAUAAAACAAGAAUUCUAUCUGUUACUGUGUUUGCCUUCUAUUGAAUAUAUUUGGUGGACAUUUAUUUGGGCUGUGAUUUAAUUUGGUCCAAUGCCAAAUUAUUGGGCCUAGUCCAUGUGACCAAGCCUAUUAGCCCAAAGACCUUUGCUCUCCACCAUCCGAUUGCUGCCACGUCUCCUUUUCACUUGGAUUAUAUUUCUGCACCAUUGGAUGGAGGGUUGUGUUUGUUAUGUGUGAAGUGUAUGCUGGUUUUGUUCCUCACUUUACACUUCUCUCUCUUUCUCUCUCUAUUCACUCAAUUCAGUGUGUGCUCUCUCUUCUCUCUUCUUCUCCGAUGAGUUCUCUGGCAAUCUUCUUCUUGAUCCUUCACUACUCUGAAUGUGAUUGAUCAGUGUGAGUGCUGGUGAAGGCAACCUCUUCGAUUGCCUGUGUGUUGGUGAGAAUUAGGGUUUUGUGUGUGAGGGCUUUAGUCUGAGAUUGUGUUCGGUGGAUCUUGAUCCGGUGUGAAGGGGUUAUGUGGUGGAGGUAUUGACGGUUUGAGGCUGAUCUCUAGUCGAUUCAAUGGUUCUCCCUUGGAUAGAUCUGAACUGUUGGCGGGUGUUUGAGCCAAAAUCUUUGAUCUAUUCGGUGUCCUCUGUUUUUCUUGUUCUUCUUGUAUGUAAUACCUUGGAUCCUUUUGGAUCUUACUUGUUAUUACUGACUCGUGUACUUAGUGUGCAGGUUGUGAAGUAAUCAAGGGGCUAGCUAUGGUUCCAACAGAGAGUUGUAAUAGCUAGGAUAUAUUACUUGUAAACAUACUUGUAAUUCUUGAUUAAUAUCAGCGGCUUGGUUGAGAGUUUGACUGAGCUCUCUUGUAAGAAGAACAAAGAGGUCUUGGUAAUUAGUGAACCCGGACUGGUCUGAUCCCUACACCUUUUACUUUGUUGGUUUCGUCCUGAUGUUUGUUCAGUAUGCCAAUUCAGCUGGUAGUAUGUCAUUUCUUUGUCAAUUAUAUGAAUUUCCUUGUGAUUAAUCA